rnacentral:rRNA from 1 species
UUCGACUGUUUACCAAAAACAUAGCCCUUGCAUUUAUCGAAGGUGCCGCCUGCCCAAUGAUCAAAACAAAUAUUUAAAGAACACAUAUUAAAUAAAAAUAGGAUUGAAUGGCUGCAGUAACUAUGACUGUAUGAAUGUAGCAUAAUCACUCGCCACUUAAUUGGUGGAUAGUAUGAAUGGCUCCACGAAAAUCUCACUGUCUUAUAAAAUAAUAAAAAAAUUAAACUAAUAGUUAAGAUGCUAUUUAAAAUUGUAAGACGAAAAGACCCUAUAAAGCUUAACUAUAACCCCUUUUUAUUUUAUUAAACCGAUAAAUUCAAUUAAGGGGAUGGUAGUUUCAUUGGGGCGAUGGUCUCUAAAAAAAAACAGAGACAAACAAAAGUAAUAAGAAAAUUUACUGUUUAAUCCAUUAAUUUAACAGUUAUAAAGUAGGUUAUAAUGACCCAUUAAAACCAUUAAAAACUGUUUAAUGAUCAAAAGACAAAAGCUACUUUAGGGAUAACAGGACAAUCUUGUCCAAGAGCCCGUAUCAAAGACAAGGUUUAUCACCUCGAUGUUGAAUUGAGAUAACCUAACGGAGCAGAAUCCGUUGAAGGUAGGUCUGUUCGACCUUGAAAAUCUCACAUGAUUUGAG